rnacentral:tRNA from 1 species
GGCUCCGUAGUUCAACUGGAUAGAAUUCCUGACUUCGGAUCAGGCGGUUGCAGGUUCGAAUCCUGCCGGGGUCA